rnacentral:lncRNA from 1 species
ACCGUUUCGUAGUGGACAAAUUGUGUCGUAAUUGAUAUCAACUCAAUAUUAAAUUGAUAAAAACAUACUGAAAAUUACAUGGUACUAACCCUUGUUAAUUGUUUUGUACAAAUAUAAUUGAAAAAUGAGUAUACAAAACGACUGCAUGCCAUGGUAGUUGUAGUGUCCCGGCACUACGAAACGAUUUUCUCCCCCAAACCGAAUAAGGAAAUAGAAAUCCAAAUAAGGAAAUAGAAACCAAAUAAGGAAAAAGAAACUGAAUAAGGAAAUAGAAACCGAAUAAGGAAAAAGAAACUGAAUAAGGAAAUGAAAAUCGAAUAAGGAAAUGAAAAUCGAAUAAAGAAAUAGAAACCGAAUAAGGAAAAAGGAAACAGAAUAAGGAAAUAGAAACAGAAUAAGGAAAAAGAAACCGAAUAAGGAAAUUAAAAUCAAAAAAGGAAAUAUGAAAAAAUCAAAAAAGGAAAUAGAAACCGAAUAAGGAGUUGAAAAUCGAAAAAGGAAAUAGAAACCGAAUAAGGAAAUGAAAAUUGAAAAAGGAAAAAGAAACCGAAUAAGGAAAUGAAAAUCGAAUAAGGAAAAGAAACCGAAUAAGGAAAUGAAAAUCGAAUAAGGAAAUAGAAACUGAAUAAAGAAAAAGAAACCGAAUAAGGAAAUGAAAAUCGAAUAAGGAAAAGAAACCGAAUAAGGAAAUGAAAAUCGAAUAAGGAAAAGAAACCGAAUAAGGAAAUGAAAUCGAAUAAGGAAAUAGAAACUGAAUAAAGAAAAAGAAACCGAAUAAGGAAAUGAAAAUCGAAUAAGGAAAAACAAACCGAAUAAGGGAAGGAAAAUCGAAUAAGGAAAUAGAAACCGAAUAAGGAAAUAGAAACCGAAUAAGGAAAAAGAAACCGAAUAAGGAAAUAGAAACCGAAUAAGGAAAUGAAAAUCGAAUAAGGAAAUAGAAAACGAAUAAGGAAAAAGAAACCGAAUAAGGAAAUGAAAAUCAAAAAAGGAAAUAGAAACCCAAUAAGGUAAUGAAAAUGGAAAAAGGAAAUAGAAAACGAAUAAGGAAAUGAAAAUUGAAAAAGGAAAUAGAAACCGAAUAAGGAAAUGAAAAUCGAAAAAGGAAAAAGAAAACGAAUAAGGAAAUGAAAAUUGAAAAAGGAAAUAGAAA